UCUCUGCCUUCACACGACUCUCUAAUCCACAUUUAUCUCUCAAAUAUUUUCUUUGCCUUCUCAAAUCUCGCUCUCUCUCUCUCUAAUCUUGUUCGUCCACACUCAUCAUCAAUAUCUCUCAACUCAGUUUUUCACAACAAUAACAUAUCCUGUUUGUCUGAUUUCCUCAUGAUUUGUUCCCUCAAACUCUCGAUUUCUCUUUCAUCAAAAUCUUGUUGUUUCAUCGAUAACUUCCCUCUGAUUCUUCUCAACCGAUUGAAUCUAUCUCUUUUACACCAAUCUCAAUCGAUUGAGCAUUCUUCUUUGGUUUUUGGUUCAUGUUUCCAACCGUAA